rnacentral:lncRNA from 1 species
AAUGUGUCUUCGUACAAGACAAUGGGUGGCUGAUUUUUGAUGCCUCCUGGGUUACUGUUUGGUGAACUCUGAAAUACCCACUCUGCUCACACACAGGGUCACAGAAGACAUGGGUAUAUUGAGCACACUGGUACUAGGGUCAACAGUGAGCUGACGCUAUGUGCAGAUGAACCUCUCUGUUUCUACUGGAGCCAUCAUUCAAUGGACAGAAAGGAUUUGGGUGUUGGACUCAUCUCUGAUACAUCCUGUCUGCAGGGAUAGAAAGUAUUCCUGGGGAACAUCGAAGCUGAAGAAACUACAGCUUUUCUUUCGAGUCUGGAUUAUUCUGAACCACAUGGAAUUACAAUCAAGUCCGGGAUGAGUGGCUCAAAGCCUGGCUAUGACCGAGGGAACGGAAGACAAAUUGGGAUCAUAUUUUAUUCAACCAAGAGAAAUGGAAUCCAGCAGAGUAAAUUUCAUGUUCUCUGGAAAUAUGUCCUGUUAAUGUUAUUAUUGAGAAGAAGCACAGACAACACAGUCUUCCAGGCAAGGAAGAGAAGGAGAUGUGACCUUGGCUUUGUGAGCUGUGGCAGGGAGGGACCCAGAAUGAUAGUGAAGGUCUCUGGAAGCUUCCAAACAAACAAGUGUGGGUGUCUUUUGUCAGAUCCCUGAGAGUGGGUGGGGCAGAAGACUUGCUGUGUUUUCUGUGGAUAAAUACACAAAACGAUUUAUUACUGCAACACAAGCAGGCUACAAUACACUUCAUACAUUUCUUUGGUUUUAAC